UAUUAAUGUAGAAUUCUAUCAAGAGAACCAUGAAUCAAGGAUCGAAGUUAAUUAUUCUACUUGUUUCUGUAAUUUUCAUUACGGGAUACUUUUGGACAAUUCAAGCUGCUCCAUCAAAAUGUUACACCUACUACAGAAGCAGGUGCCAAUAUCCAGAAGUACAAGCAAUGUGUCCGGAUGUAUGCAAUCGACAAGGGUAAUUGACAUCCAUAAGAUAAUAGUAUCUCUGUAAAUUCAGUUGUCAUUAUGUGCAAUAUGAAUAAAAAAUAAAUUUAAAUUAGUUGU